UUUAUAGUUUAUAAAUAUUAAAUGUAAUAAAUAUAAAAUUAUUAAUCUUUCUAUAAUUUCGAGAAUUAGUUGCCUUAAAUUGUUAUUUGUAAUAUUCUUUAGAUUAUAUAGCAAGUUAUGUUAAAUGUUUUUAGACUUACCUUAAAUUUUUAAAUCUAAUUUAAAUAAAUAAAAAUUAAAAACAAUCGACCAAUUAAAUUAUAACAAUUUUUUUGAAACUUCAUCUAUGAGCAACACGUCAUCAGAUCUUACUAAAGUGACUUCUCUUUUAAUAUAUAUAUAGGGGAUACUAUUUUUAUCUAGAUAAAUCUAUAAUAUAGUAUACAAUAGAUUGUGGAGUUAUUACACACGCCUUAGCACACUAGAUAAAAUAUAUACUGUAUAAUAAACUAUGGUUCUAUAUCAUUUUGAUAAUGUUUAUCUUAUUUAUCAAUAUAGAGACAUAAUUGUUAUCCCAACCACUGCUAUUGCUAGUGUCAUUGAACCGAUGCAUCUACCAAUUAAAUCUGACAAUAUCCUCCUCUCCUCCAUAUACAAAGAUCUGAGAAGAUGAAUAAUUGACUUUUUAUAUGUUCUACUUUAUUAUAAAACUAGGGGGAAGCCCGCGCUUUGCGCGGGAUUUGAUAUAUUGUCAAAUAUACAGUAAAACCUCUAUAAAUUAAUAAUAUUAGGACUUUGAAAUUUUAUUAAUUUAUAGAGAUAUUAAUUUACAAAAUUUUCCUUAUUUAGUUUUUUUUCUAUUUUUAAUAUGUUUAUAUAUAAAAUAUGAAAGUAUUUGUUUAUAUCGUAUGUACAUUAUUCAAAUUUUUAAAAUUUGUCUUUCAUAUUGUUUUAUUAUCUUAUUUGGUGUAUAUAUUUAUGUUUUAUAUUAUUGCUAAAUGGUUUUCGAUAUAACUUUACUAACUAUUAUCAAAAUAUUUUUAAAUGUUAAGAAAAAUAAAAAUAUUUUCAUUGUGAAUAUAAAAUGAAUAAUAUAAUGUUUAUUUUGUACUUAUAUAAAAUUAUAUAUAGAUAGAUUAUUAAUUUAUGAUUUUAAUGGGAUUAUAUAUUUACAUGGAAUUUUCAAAAAUAUUAUUAUCUUAUUAUUUUAUCGAUUUGUGUCAUAUUUUACACCGGUUCAAGUUGGGACCGGCAAAAUUUAUUAAUUUAUUGAGAUUAUUAAUUUAUCGAGUAUUAAUUUCUAAAGGUUUUACUGUAUUUUUUAAGUUUGUUUUUGAUUUUACUGGAUUGUCUUCAUUUCUUAUUUGGACCAGUUUUUCAUAAGAAUCUUUUUCAAUUGGAGUAAUUUCAAAUUUGUGUUGUAGAGAUUGUGGGAUAUGGUAAUGUUUUCAUGUACAAUGGUGUUUUGAUUUUAUUCAGUGUUUUCAAACCCGGCCCGGAUCCGCGGUUGAACCAGUGAAUAUGGUGACUCAAAUAUAAUCUUGUUGGGUUUUACGAAAGCUCAUUAUUUAAAAACCUAGUAAAACCGCAAAAAAACCCACUAAAAUCCAGAACCCGACAACCGGUUGAACUACUGAUUAAACCAAUUAUGAUGAAGAUUUAUGCCAUAAGAAAAAAUUAAGUGAACGAUGAUAGAGAGAACCAAAUUUAGUUGAUGUAAUUUGGUUGGUAUUAGUUUAUUUUUGUUAUCGACAUUCUAUUACAACAAUUUAUUAUUUAAUUUUUGUUUUUCUGGAUUCAAUUUUACUAUUCAGAUUUCACAUUUAAAUACUUAUAGAUUUCAAGUUUUGAUAUUUUCAGUAGAUAUCAUAACUCCUAACUUUUUACAAUAUUGUUAAAUAGUCUGAAUUACUUUUUGAUAUUUUAUAUGUUAAAUGAUAGUAAAAAAUAAAAAAAAUUAAGUGUUUUCUAAAUAUUCUUAAAACAUAAAAUAUAUACUAUAUUUUAAUAGCUAAUAUAUUAUUAUUUAAUUAAAUUAAUUUAUUUAUUAACUUACGGUUCAAUGACCUGGUAAGUCUUUCAGUUCAGUUUCCAUGUCGAAUUUCAAAAUAUUGGUUUUAUUGUAUUAGUCUGAACUUUACGACUAUCAAGUUUUAAUGCCUAAGUUAUAAUUCGGCAUUGGUAUUUGUUAAACUAACACAUUCAUCAAACGACAAUAAUAAACUAAUCAUUGGUCUGAGAAACACUUCACAUACACUUAUCUGCAAUGUAAAAUUGAAUUAAAAAAAAUCCACAAAAAUUCCUCAUAAGAUUUAUAACACUCUUAAUCAUCUGGAGAAUCAAUUUUAUGGAUUCCUUAUUCUACAAUAUAAGUGGAUGGUAAUGGAGUACCUGAAACGUAGGAAAAAAAGUAAAUAUUAUAGAUCUUUAUAAAUAAACAUGAACUCAAAUUUCUAGGCGAGAAACAAAAAAGAAGCUAACUUAUAAAACACAAAACUGGUGAAUUUGAUUUGUGAAAACAUUUUGAAUCGGAGAAGAAGUGGUAGGGUAAUACAUGUACUUUACAAAAUAGAAACAAUAUAGAGAAGAAUACAAUAGAAGGAGAUGAAGAAGACCCAUCGGAGGCAACUGACUGACGUGGAUGACAUAGAAGAACAUAAUCUUAGCUUCAAAGAUAAAGACGUUGUUUUGAGCUUUCGACCAUGAAAAAAAAAGCUGCUGUGAAUAUAAAAAAAUUUACAAAAUUUAGUUGGGAGUGACCCACCAAACAUGAGACCCAUCAAAGCUUUUGUGACUCAACCAAAACUGGACAUUAUUAUAGUUAACUAAUGAUGAAAUGAUGACGAUACAGCAUGUCGGCCUUAUGAGCUCUCUCCCUUUCUUCACAUUACAGGCCGCACCGAACCUAAGAAGUCAGGCUUCGACCGUGUUGGCACAACAACCAGCUUUCAAGUCGGAGAACAUAAGGUUCAAGUUGGCCAUUCAUGGUGUGUGGGUUUGAAAGGCACUAUAAUGAUGAGUAGCAGGAGGCUUGAGUUUCAGGGAGGAAUAUAUCCUUAAAAAAAAAAAUUCAGUAACCACAGAGUUUGCUCAUGAGUGAAAAUGCAGUUGCAACAGCUAAUCAGUACACUUCAUCUUUGUUAAGCGUUUCAAUUAGACAAUUAGACAACUGCACACACUCUUGACCUGAAACGGGUAUGUGGGCGUAACAUCUAAAGGACACUCCUACAAUGUAUCAUAACUAUAUCAGACAAUGAAACAUAGAUCAUGUCGAGGUUAAAA